rnacentral:rRNA from 1 species
UCGGGAAUUUUGGGCAAUGGGCGAAAGCCUGACCCAGCAACGCCGCGUGAAGGAUGAAGUAUUUCGGUAUGUAAACUUCGUAAGAAUAGGAAGAAUAAAUGACGGUACUAUUUGUAAGGUCCGGCUAACUACGUGCCAGCAGCCGCGGUAAUACGUAGGGACCAAGCGUUGUUCGGAUUUACUGGGCGUAAAGGGCGCGUAGGCGGUGUGUCAAGUCAGUUGUGAAAUCUCCGAGCUUAACUCGGAACGGUCAACUGAUACUGUCACACUAGAGUACAGAAGGGGCAAUCGGAAUUCUUGGUGUAGCGGUGAAAUGCGUAGAUAUCAAGAGGAACACCUGAGGUGAAGACGGGUUGCUGGGCUGGACACUGACGCUGAGGCGCGAAAGCCAGGGGAGCAAACGGGAUUAGAUACCCCAGUAGUCCCUGAGCGGGCUGGCAAGGCGCAU